ACAACAGAAAGCCAUUGAAUAUUACUGAGCAGUGAAGAACAUCUCAAAGAAGCUUAACCUGGCAGUUCUAUGGAGCAGGGAUUAGAGGAAGGAGAGAAGACCAAGAUGGUGAUGAGGAGGAUAUGUUCUAGCAUACAAGAUAGCAGGAACAGAGAGGUGGGUAAAGAUAUUAGAAAUGCAUUGAAUCAACAGGACCUAUUUGUAUUUCAUCAGAGUUUCUAGAUUAUGCCCAUCUAGAAGGCUGACACUGUUUGCAUAAGUCUCUUUAUAUAAAAAUUAACAGAGGUACUCAUUAAAUGUGUUUUUACUACUAAUAAUAAUAUUUAGCACUUGUAUAAUACUUUAAGCUCUGAAAAUACUUUUUAAUUAUCUCAUUUUAUCUUCACAACAAUUUUAGGAGGUGCUAUUACAAUCCCUAUUUUACAGAAAAGGAAACAAUGUAAAUGUACAUAUGCACAGGGCUAUGGAGCCAUUUUUUUAUGGAGCCUACUCUGAGGUAGGAUUUGAACUCAGGUCUUCCUACCUGCAGGUCCAGAACUCUAGCCACCUUGCUGCCCCACUUUUUAGUUUGAAUAAUUAAAAAAGAAGCAGGGAAAAAAAUUGUACCGUAUGCUCCAAAGAAGACAGAAAUAGUCAUGUAGUCCAUUUGGUGUUGGGUAAAAAAUGUUUUGCUUUUGACCCUUGGCAAGCACACAUAUGGGAACGUUCCCCAGGUCUUUUACUUGACCCCCCACAGAAUUAUCUUUUUUAUGCCACAAAAUGAGCUUCGUGAUUAGUCAUGCCCACUUUGGCUGGAAAUGUGCCCAUGCAAAAGCCUGAGGCUGGUCCAAGUGUUUCUUCCACCAAUUUGAGCUGUCAGAUCCAGUUAUUUCUCUAAGUUGGUAGGGAAGCUCAAUCUUCCUCAAAAGAUACAUUUCCUGAGGGCUGUGCCUCACACUUUGGCCUCCUCCCUCCCCUCCUCCCCAAUCCUUCUUAUGUCAUAUCAGGGCUCCUCUCAUCUCCUGCCUGCAUAAAUUGAAUGUGAGAAGCAAAAACGCACACUUAAUCAGUCUUUGUUCUUGACAAUUCC
rnacentral:lncRNA from 1 species